GAUGAACGCUGGCGGCGUGCCUAAUACAUGCAAGUCGAGCGAACGGACGAGAAGCUUGCUUCUCUGAUGUUAGCGGCGGACGGGUGCGUAACACGUGGAUAACCUACCUAUAAGACUGGGAUAACUUCGGGAAACCGUAGCUAAUACCGGAUCAUAUUUUGAACCGCAUGGUUCAAAAGUGGAAGACGGUCUUGCUGUCACUUAUAGAUGGAUCCGCGCUGCAUUAGCUAGUUGGUAAGGUAACGGCUUACCAAGGCAACGAUGCAUAGCCGACCUGAGAGGGUGAUCGGCCACACUGGAACUGAGACACGGUCCAGACUCCUACGGGAGGCAGCAGUAGGGAAUCUUCCGCAAUGGGCGAAAGCCUGACGGAGCAACGCCGCGUGAGUGAUGAAGGUCUUCGGAUCGUAAAACUCUGUUAUUAGGGAAGAACAUAUGUGUAAGUAACUGUGCACAUCUUGACGGUACCUAAUCAGAAAGCCACGGCUAACUACGUG
rnacentral:rRNA from 1 species